rnacentral:rRNA from 1 species
UACGAAGGGGGCUAGCGUUGUUCGGAAUUACUGGGCGUAAAGGGCGCGUAGGCGGUGUGUCAAGUCAGGCGUGCGAAAGCCCCGGGCUCAACCUGGGAACCGCGCUUGAGACUGGCACGCUAGAGUUCGGGAAGAGGAUGGUGGAAUUCCCAGUGAUAGAGGUGAAAUUCGUAGAUAUCAAGUGGAACACCGGUGGCGAAGGCGGCCUCUGGGACGGUGACUGACGCUGAAGACGCGAAAGCGUGGGGAGCAAACAGG